GAUGAAGAACGUAGCGAAAUGCGAUAAGUAAUGUGAAUUGCAGAAUUCAGUGAAUCAUCGAAUCUUUGAACGCACAUUGCGCCCGCCAGUAUUCUGGCGGGCAUGCCUGUUCGAGCGUCAUUUCAACCAUCAAGCCCUGCUUGCGUUGGGGUCCUGCGGCUGCCCGCAGGCCCUGAAAACCAGUGGCGGGCUCGCUAGUCGCACCGAGCGCAGUAAUACAUCUCGCUUUGGGCGUGCGGCGGGUUCUUGCCGUUAAACACCCCCUUUUUACCAAGGUUGACCUCGGAUCAGGUAGGAAUACCCGCUGAACUUAAGCAUAUCAAUAAGCGGAGGA
rnacentral:misc_RNA from 1 species